AUUGUCGUUGUUAAAGAUAAACAAAUAGUCAUUUGUAAAUGUGCUCAAGUUUCUAGAUGUGAGAGGGUUCUACAGGAAUUAUCUUUUAUCAGUAUUCAAUAAGCUUGAACUACACAGAAUUGCUAAGUGUUUGUUCCUCAGACUCCAUUUUCAGAGCGGGUAGUAAUAAUCUUGGCUGACAUGCUGUAUGUUUUACAAACGAAUACUUACAGCAAACCAAGCCAAUGAUAGCUUUCUGUUAAGUCAAUCAGUGCUGUCUGUCUUCAAAAUAAAGCUUGAUGGGUCUGUUCUCAACAUCUGUGGUGAUUCAUAGCACACAUUCUGUUCCUUUAAGCCCUAUGAUUAGUAACAAGAGACUUUUCUAUUGUCAUGUAACAAUAUAGGAGUUUAUGUAAAUUCUGAAGCAUGAAAAAGAACAAACUUACAAUUUGUGUUUUUAAAGGCACCCUGGACACACUCACCAUUCAGCAUGGAUGAGGUUCAUGGAAAAGAUUGGAGAAAAACUGAAUCUGUUAAUCUUCUUAAGUCAAUGCCUAAGAUAUGUUUAGCAUAAGUACGCUAAACAGAUACUUUCUUUGGUGCUUUCCAGUAAGAUAGAUGAUAAGAUAUUUGAUUUUGAUUGAAAAACAGAAAUUUAAACUUGACACAGAGUAUGCUACUGAAGGUUGAAUUGAACUUAAAAAAAAGCUAUGAGAGUGUUGCCGACACUUUGUCCACCAGUGCUGAAUAGAAACGUGAGACAGAAUUUUAGGUGAAGAAGAAAAAGAUAGCUUUUAUUGCUUUGCCAGGCAAAGGAGGCCACAGCAGAGACUGUACCCUCCACUGGGAAGAACUGCAGAGAGUUUGUUAUAGUAAAAAGGAGAAGAAAGGUUUUCAGGUAGGAAUCAGGAUUGGGACAGACAUGCAUUCUUCUUUCUUUGGGGAAAUCUUGGUCAUCAAAGCUGAACUCAGGAGAUCUUGGCAUGAUCAUGACGGUGGUCUUCUGGGUUAUUGCCCAGAAUAACAUACUUGUGGAAAGGGCAUAUUGAUCGGAGAUGAGAGCAAACGAGGAAUGUUUCUACAAAACGCCAUGUCCUCGUAAUCUUUCACCCACAGGCGGUUGCGCUCAGGGUGCCUAGUCUCUAGUUUACAAGUGAUUGUGUUUAGGGUGCAGUUACGCGGGGGAGAAGGACAAGGAAGGACUCUAAACUGUUCAGUUUUAAAGUAUUUAUUUCGAAAAGAAGCAUAAGGAACAUAGCUUUUCUCUUAGGUGUAUAAGAUCAUUAUUUUGUGCAUCAUUCUGUGCAUCCCUUGUGAAGGAACCAGUGUCCUGCCCCAAGGCUAUGCUGUUGUUUUUUGAUUCUUCCUCCCUUGUCUUUGCAUUCCCCUCCUUCCCUGAUCAGCAACUGUCUGAACCUGUCCCUUGGAACUCAGGGAAGGCUGCCGUGGCUGAAUGUGGCACAUUUCCCAAGAACUCAAGAAGUGGAGGACACAGAAAGCCUUUUGUGCCCAGGAGCUCCACAGAGCCCUGCUAGGUUACAAGAGGAUAUAGUAAAUGAUUCCUACAUUAGCAAGGAGGAGGAACCUCUGUGUCAGACCUGGUGAGAUGCUUCCUUCUUAGGUGCCAGUGAUGGGGAGACCUGGCUUCCAAAUAAACUCCUUGUUUGGGGUGAAGGAUGUAAAUUAGAGUCAGGGAUUCAGGGCACCUCCUGAAUUUGGUGCCCAAAGCAGUUCCUCACAAAGCUUUUAAAGUCCUAGAUGAAAAAACCAUGUAUCUUAUGUGGAGAAAUUAAUGUUAAGAACCAUUCUUUAUACUGUGAAUAUGAUCUUUUUAGUACUUUGCAAUAUCUAUGGUUUCUUUUAUGCAAUCAGAGUCAUAGCAGAUGCUAGGGUGCUUUGUGUCUAGUUUCUUUCUCCUCCUCCUUCUCCACUUUUUUUUUCUUUCCUCUUUCUCCUUGUUUCAAUUUGUCUGCUUUCUAUGUCCUAACCUGGCAAAAUAAAAAAAAUUUACACUCAUAUCAGGACAUAACCUUGAAUGAAUUAUUUACCUUCUCAGAGCUUGAGUGAGAUCACUGGCAAAUUGGGACCAUAGUGGCACUCAUUUAUAGCAGAGACACAUAUUGAGUUUAUUCAUAUCAGAACUGACUCUGUCUUCUUCCCAACCCACACCGUUAACUUAAUCAUGUCUUCAAACCUAUGUUCUCUUGUAAGGUAACAAACUCACAGGUUCUAGGGAUUAGGGCAUGGACAUCUUUGGGGAGCUGUUAUUCAGCUUACUACACUCAGGAUUAUCUUGCACUCAGAUGUCUCAAAAAUAAAAUUGAGACAUAUUUAGGAUAGAAAAACACAUUUAGGGUAACAAUAAAGACUAAACAUGAACAUUCUCUGAAAUAUAUGUAAUGUCACACAGAUGAGUCAAAGAACAUACCCCCUUGUGUCCCCUCUUACAUGUUGGAUGUAUGCAAGGCAAAUAUCUAGGGCUUGCCCCAAAAUAACAUGUGAUGCAGUUUUUUUAAAUAUAAGAUGUUUACUAACUUGAUACUUCUGUUGAACAAAUUGGUUAGUCUUUACACACUGUUAAAGUAAUACUUCUUAUGUCUCUGUACUUAAUGUACUUUAGGGUAAAAUCAUUAUACUGAAAAGCAAGAAGUACAUCAAAAAGUAGUAUCCCUUUCCAAGUACUGUUUUGGCAAAAUAUGUAAACUGAACAGUUGUUAAGGUAUAGUCUCUAUAAAUUGGGAAGUUUAUGUUAACUAUCCCAAAAUGUUAUAUUUAGUGCAAGAGCAAUCCAAAUACUCUUGGGAGAAACCAUACUGAUACUCACAUCGAGCAUUUUAAAGUACUUAAAUAUAUUUUCAAAUCACUGUUGCAUCUGUGAUCUCCAUUUACGCCUACAUCAUCUUGAAGAGUUUUAGAGACGAAUCCUAGAGAUGAAAGCCUUUUUCUCCACAAAUCAGUUCCUUUCCAACCCAUAUGACUUUCUUAGCAAAAACUAAUCUCAGAGGCCCUUCUCACCAGUCCUGGCUGACUAUGCUCUAUUUUUCAUGACUCCAUCCCUUCCUGUUCUUUACUUAUAACUGGUGAGACCAAAGGGAGAAACAUGACCUAAGUUGGACAAUUAAUUCUAUUUUCUCUCUCGGGAACUUGAAGUUUGGAAGGACUUGUUCAUUUAGCUGUGGAUAUGAGAUUUGUAAAGAUAGAUGAAUGAGAAUGGUCAUAUCUGUGCCAUGUGCUUGUAAAUAAACUUGUGGAACCGAGAAGGAGGGAGAAAGAAAAAAAAUCAGACCGAAAAGAAGCCAAAAUGAGACAUUUGUCUAUAGAGAGAAAAGCGGAAAGUAAAUGCCUUGGUUCCUAAGGGUUUUACUUCCUGGUUCUAGUUUCUCAGUUCUUGCUGCAUUUCACUCCAUUGGGUUCUGUGAGGUACCGUGUAGUCUUCCAAUAAAUUUAUUUAUUUUGUAUGAAGAUUCAAGUUAUUUGCAUUCUGCCAGCUCUGGACUGCUAUACAAGGGAAAUCUAAAGCAUGGACAGGUCAAGGAUUUGGAAUGUACAAAAGCAAGUUAUCAGAAGAGCUAGGAGUGGACCGGGCUCGAGGGUUCUGUCUUUGAAUUCCAUGCCAAGGAAUCAGUGGGCAAAACCAGGGCCAGGGAAAACUAAUCACUCUGAGCAGCCAUCAGAACACUUACCUAAGGGCUCUAGGUUUCCUUGAGAAUUCUGUGAGUGGUCUUUAGUUUUCUAUAAACAUUUUCUCAUGUUAGUAUUUGGUACUUGAGGUUUUCAUGUUUUUGCUUCCCGAGCCAAAGUCUCUUGUGGAAGUUAAAUUUGUAAUCAGACGUGGAGAUGGCUUCCCUACCUUAAGUGUUUAAAGUGCAUACAUUCCUAGAAUUAGCAAAUUGGGCAAAUGAAUGUCAUAAAUUUUAACAUCACCACCAUAACAUAAAAGUUCUACUGGUAUAAAUGCCAUAUAAAUCUGUUGAUGUACCAUAAAUUCUGGAGGUUUAAGUAUACUAAAAGUAAUUUAUUUUAAUUUAUGAAACAGUUGUCUUUUCUUUAAUAUGCAUCCCUGAGGUUUUUUCAUAUUAAAAUGAAUAUUAAAGCAAAGCAAAGUUCAAUUCUAUUUUCCUGCCAAUUAUCUAUGAAAAUAAACUCUACUGGAUCUAAUUAAAAAAAUAUGAUUACCAUUUGAACUACUAUUUUGAAAAUUUAAAAGUGGUUUUGAAAAUAAAACUGUAAUUAAAAUCUGACAAAUAGUUACCCAGAACAAUAAUUUAUUCAAAAGUAAUUUUUAGGAUUAACUUGAAACUUUUUUUUUUUUUUAAUGGCCACGCCCAAACACAUGGAAUUUUCCAUGCUAGGGACUGAAUCUGAGCUGCAACUAUAACCUACCCCAAAGCUGUGGCAGUGCCCAAGCCACUGUGCUGGGCCAGGGAUCAAACCUGCACCUCUGCAGGAAUGAGCCCCAGCAGCUGGAUUCUUAAUCCACCCACUGUCCACAGCAGGAACUCUGAAACUUGUUUUUAAAAGCGAAAAUUAUGGUCAUUCAUUAAGCGAAGUUUGGUCAUUUUUUUUCUGGAAUUAGAAGUUUAAAAAAUUAUUUUCACUUUUUUGCAAUUGUCAGUUGAGUUAGGCUGGCUCCUCAUUCAGAAUAAUACUCUUUUUCAAUUGCAUAACAGAUCUGUCUUAUUCAUUCAUGGAACUAAAGAUACGCAUGUGCCCACUCCCACUCGCCUCCCACAUACAUGUAUAGAUCAAUGUAAAGGUAUAUAUAACUAUAUUUUUAAUGAAAUUCGAACAUAAUAUGAUUUGACAUUAGAAUGUUUUUAAGUAUUGAGAGAAUUUUUGUUUAUGUCUUCUGUCUUGCUUUCAAAUCAUUUUACAAAAUAACAUCUAAUGAGGUUUUUUUCUUUUACUGUAAUAUAGUGAAGUUUUAUGAGGAAAAAUAUUUCACAUAAUUUUAUUUCUUAGGUAAGCCUAUGACAUGGAAAAGAAAAGCAAUUUAAAUGUAUGGCCCAAACCUUUGUACACAGUUCAGAAAGCAUUGAUUUAUUUAAAACACAAAAGAAGAUUUGGACCUAGCCAUGGUUUGCCAAAGUAUAACUAACAGCGAUAAAAACAAAACCUACAUAUGAGUGUAAAAGAAGAUGAAAAAA
rnacentral:lncRNA from 1 species